AUCAGUUACAUCAAGAACUCCUAUAUUUGCUUCUUUAUAUAAAACAUUGUAUAACUCUGUUUUGAGUUAUUUAAUAUUGUUAACUGCCCAAGAUUUGUUUAGUAUGUUAAUUUGUUCUAAUAUUUUUAUAUAAUCUAUAAUCAUUAUGCAUCAUGCCAUUUGAUUCUUAGGGCUUAGAAACUGGAUAUUUCGAAGAUGACGGCUUCAUAGUCGUCGUUUCUGAAGGUGUCGAGAUGGGUAGAUUCCCAGCCAAGAGAAGGCAAUCCUUAAACUGGUCCUGGGUCAAGGGUAUCUAUGAAAUAAGGAGACGAAUGUCUCUGCCUGAAAUAAUACCUGAUUGGCCCGAAUUGAUGGAGGCUGUCAAAAUAAAG